GGUCAAGGUACUAAGGGCAUGCGGUGGAUGCCUUGGCGAUGGAAGGCGAUGAAGGGCGUGGUAAGCUGCGAUAAGCCUCGGGGAGCCGCAAACAGGCUUUGAUCCGGGGAUUCCCGAAUGGGGAAACCUGAUUGGUCGUAAGACCAGUCGCCGAAAGGUGCGAACCGGGGGAAGUGAAACAUCUCAGUACCCCGAGGAAAAGAAAUCAAACGAGAUUCCCUGAGUAGAGGCGAUCGAAAGGGGAAAAGCCUAAACCAGUGCGAUGUUCAAGCCCGUAGGCGUUGUUGCACUGGGGUUGUGGGACACAGUUGGGCGAGGCUACGGACUCGCCGGGGAGUUACAAAUCUUCUCCUUAGCUGAACCAUCUGGGAAGAUGGGCCGGAGAGGGUGACAGCCCCGUAAGCGAAAGGGAGAAGACUCCUUGAACUGUGUUCCCAAGUACCGCGGGACCCGGGAAAUCCUGCGGGAAUCUGGGGGGACCACCCUCCAAGGCUAAAUACUCUCCAUCGUCCGAUAGUGCACGAGUACCGUGAGGGAAAGGUGAAAAGAACCCCGGGAGGGGAGUGAAAUAGAACCUGAAACCGCAUGCCUACAAUAAGUCGGAGCCCGCAAGGGUGACGGCGUGCCUUUUGAUUAAUGAGUCCGCGAGUUGUCGUCAGUGGCAAGGUUAAGCCGGUAGAGGCGGAGCCGUAGCGAAAGCGAGUCCGAAUAGGGCGCAAGUCACUGGUGGCAGACCCGAAGCCGGGUGAGCUACCCCUGGGCAGGAUGAAGGUGGGCUAAACCCCACUGGAGGUCCGAACCGAUGGAUAGUGAAAAAUCCUCGGAUGACCUGGGGGUAGGAGUGAAAAGCUAACCGAACCCGGUGAUAGCUGGUUCUCCCCGAAACGCAUUGAGGUGCGGCCUCGAGUGGUCUGUGCAGGGGGUAGAGCACUGAUAGGGCUAGGGGGGUAACCUCCGAACCCUGUCAAACUCCGAAUCCCUGUACAUAAAACUCGGGAGGAAGUCUGUGGGGGAUAAGCUCCAUGGACAAAAGGGAAACAGCCCAGACCAUCGGCUAAGGGCCCAGAGAGAUGGCUAAGUGGGAAAGGAUGUGGUGCACCCCAGACAACUGGGAGGUUGGCUUAGAAGCAGCCAUCCUUUAAAGAGUGCGUAACAGCUCACCAGUCGAGGUGCACUGCGCCGAAGAUGUAACGGGGCUCAAGCCAUCCCCCGAAGCCAUGGGUCUGUACACUAUGUACAGGCGGUAGGGGAGCUUUCCGCUGUAGGGUGAAGGUAGACCCGUGAGGGCUACUGGACGAGGCGGAAGUGAGAAUGCGGACAUGAGUAUGCGAGAGGAGAGUGAGAAUCUCUCCCCCCGAAUGCCCAAGGGUACCUGGGGAAGGGUCGUCCUCCCAGGGUUAGUCGGUACCCUAAGGUGAACCCGAAAGGGAUAGCCGAAGGGAAGCUGGUUAAUAUUCCAGCACCACCUGUAAUCGAGGUGCGAGGGGUGACGCAGAAGGGUAAGCGCCGAGGGCAAGUGGCAUUCCCUUCCAAGCGGUUAGGGCGUUGAUGGGUGUAGGUAAAUCCGCACCUGGAGUCUGAGCCGUGAUGGGAAGGACCCGUGAGGGUCCAACGGCGUUGACCCCACGCUGCCAAGAAAAGCCUCGCGUACCGUUCGAGGUUGCAGGUGACCGUUCCGCAAACCGACACAGGUGGGCGAGCUGAGAAAGCUAAGGGGAGCGGGAUAACCCUCGCCAAGGAACUCGGCAAAUUAACCCCGUAACUUCGGGAGAAGGGGUGCCGCAGUAGGGUGAACUCAGGGGAAAGGGCAACCUGGAAACUGAGGGAGCCUGAAGCGGUCGCAGUGACAAGGCCCUAGCGACUGUUUACCAAAAACACAGGCCUCUGCAAACUCGUAAAGAGGAUGUAUAGGGGCUGACGCCUGCCCAGUGCCGGAAGGUUAAGGGGAGGGGUGAGGCCGCAAGGCGUAGCUCCAAACCGAAGCCCCGGUAAACGGCGGCCGUAACUAUAAAGACCGUUGUAGUUACGGUAAAAAACUCGGCUGUAUGCGGGAAACUCUGGAGUGCCGGUGGGUACCACAGGUGUGGUAACAAUCCCACGGAGUGCGAAAGCGCCAGACAACCCGCAGGAAACUCAUCUAAGUUAAGGAGAAUUUUCCAUGCUGGACGUUAAAAGAAUUCCACCGAAAAUAGGUUACUACCUUGCAGGCUUUGCAGACGGAGAAGGGAGUUUCAUGGUUGUUGUAAGAAAGAAAGAUGAUUAUAAAAGUGGUUGGAAGAUAUCUGUAGCUUUCAAUGUCUCGAAUAAAGAUAAGGUAGUGCUUGCACUUUUUAAAAGGUAUUUGAACUGUGGAACUCUCCGUCAGCGUAAAGAUGGUGUGUGGUACUAUGAAGUAGGUAAUUUCAACGCGAUUGUGGAAAAUGUGAUACCUUUCUUUGACAGAUUCAGAUUUCUUUCUGCAGCCAAGAAAAAUUCAUAUUCAAAAUUCAAAAAAGUUGUAGAAAUAAUUGGAAGAUCUGAACAUACGACAAAGGAAGGCAUUGAAAAGAUAUUAUCUUUGAGGAAUCAAAUGAGUAAUAAUCGGUCAAAGCGAAAACACACCGAUCAGGAAGUUUUGGGUAGCUUAGAUGAGGAUCCUCAGAGACCAUACGCCGAGCAUCACAUGGGUUUGACCCCAAACGGGGAUGCGCCGCCGACCCAUGGAUGAUGAUAUGGUCCAAUCCCUAUGGUAACAUAGGGCCUAAAAUGGGAUAGCCUCAAUUGAGGUGAAUGAAGUAUUAACGAACGGUCCUAAGGUAGCGAAAUACCUUGCCAGGUAAGUUCUGGCCUGCAUGAAUGGCGUAACGACUGGGGCACUGUCUCGGCGAGGGACCCGGUGAAAUUUCAGUGUGGGUGAAGAUGCCCACAACCUGCGGCUAGACGGAAAGACCCCGUGGAGCUUUACUGCAACCUGGUAUUGGAUUCUGACACAUCGUGUACAGGAUAGGUGGGAGGCUGUGAACCCGGCUCGUCAGGGUCGGGGGAGCCGUCGGUGGGAUACCACCCUCGGUGUGUCGGAAUUCUAACCUGAACCUGUGAAGAGCAGGUUGGGAACAGUGCCAGGUGGGCAGUUUGACUGGGGCGGUCGCCUCCUAAAAUGUAACGGAGGCGCGCGAAGGUCGGCUCAGGUGGGUUGGAAAUCCACCGAAGAGUGUAAGGGCAUAAGCCGGCCUGACUGUGAGACCGACAGGUCGAGCAGAGACGAAAGUCGGCCCUAGUGACCCGGCGACUCCGAGUGGAAGGGUCGUCGACAACGGACAAAAGUUACCCCGGGGAUAACAGGCUAGUCUCGCCCGAGAGUUCACAUCGACGGCGAGGAUCGGCACCUCGAUGUCGGCUCAUCCCAUCCUGGGGCUGAAGCAGGUCCCAAGGGUUAGGCUGUCCGCCUAUUAAAGGGGUACGUGAGCUGGGUUCAGACCGUCGUAAGACAGGUCGGUCCCUAUCGGCCGCGGGCGCAGGAGGUUUGAGGGAGGUCUCCCCUUGUACGAGAGGACCGGGGAGAGUGGGCCUCUGGUGUACCGGCUGUCCUGCCAGGGGCAUACGCCGGGUAGCUAUGCCCAUAAGCGAUAACCGCUGAAGGCAUCUAAGCGGGAAGCGCGUCCCAAGAUUAGACCUCCCAUCCCUUAAGGGAGUAAGGCCGGUCCGAGAAUAGGACCUUGAUAGGCCGGUGGUGUAAGCAUCGUAAGGUGUUGAGCCAACCGGUACUAAUAGGCCGAGGCCUUGACCUU
rfam:Thermotoga lettingae TMO, complete genome.